UGUUUUUAAGCUGAGGAGCGAGUGGAUCAGAGAGCAGCUGACCUCACAGAGCCAUGGUUCAGUGACUCAUUCAGACAUGUCCUUGAGUAGUUGUUCUGGAUUUCCUCGAUGGUAGCAAGGUGAACUCAUGAGGUACUGGUCCAGAAAAGAACACUAGUGACUAUGCCCAUUGUCACUGCUCAGAAGUGUUCUGGAAUCUUGUUUCCCGCCCUGAAAUAAGUUGAUGGCAGUUAUGGCAUGGGCUGAUCUACCCAGUCAGCAAGGCCAGAUUGCAGAGAAACUCAGAGUCUAGGAAAAUGAAUGUCUAGUAACAUUCCUCAAAUAGUCCUACCAGAAGACACAAAGAUGAUGCAUCCGGAUGAAGAAUAUAUCACUGAGAUUAAUGGCCCUGGGUUGCAGCCAAAAGCAUCUCAGAGGUAGAACACUGUUGCAGAUGGUGAUGUUACCAUUUGAAAGUAAGAAGAAAACUAGUAUCUCUUGGGUCACCAAGAGUAAAAAUAGAGAAGAUGCUUACAAACUGCAACACAUAGAGUUUCUUGAAAUCACAGUUUGGGAGUGGAGGAAAAGGCUGCUUAAGUGUUUGGAAAGGGAGACUAAGGAUGAAAUAGAGUGGGGGUAUGAUGCAUUUCCUGACUGUGGUCGGCUUUCCAUGGGUGAAACAGAAAAGUCUUCAAAUAUCCUCACCAACUGCUUUCCUAGAUUUUUCAGCCAGUUACUUGACCAUAUUAGGAAAAGAAAGGCAAAAAGGAAAUUAUCAAAAAACUACAUUUUUG
rnacentral:lncRNA from 1 species